GAAUGGUGAUUGUUGCGUCCGCA
rnacentral:miRNA from 1 species